rnacentral:tRNA from 2 species
GCUGAUGUGGCUCAAUGGCAGAGCAGUUCACUCGUAAUGAACAGGUUGUCGGUUCGAUUCCGACCAUCAGCUCCA